UACAGAGGUCUCAAGCGUUGUUCGGAUUUCAUUGGGCGUAAAGGGUGCGUAGGCGGCGCGGUAAGUCGGGGUGUGAAAUCUCGGAGCUUUAACUCCGAAACUGCAUUCGAUACUGCCGUGCUUGAGGACUGGAGAGGAGACUGGAAUUUACGGGUGUAGCGGUGAAAUGCGUAGAUAUCGUAAGGAAGACCGUGGCGAAGGCGAGUCUCUGGACAGUUUCCUGACGUGAGGCACGAAAGGCCCAGGGGGAGC
rnacentral:rRNA from 1 species